rnacentral:snoRNA from 14 species
GUUCAAUAAGAGGUAGAAACUUCUGGUUGUGUUCUGACACUGACGUACACAAAAUGGAAGAAUAAACCUGUUCCACGUACACCCCAGCUAAUCCCGUGCAUGGGCUUAGCCUCUGGGUCUGAACUGUGCAUGGGAAGAUGUGG